UACGAGAGGCCCAAACGUUAUUCGGAUUUACUGGGCUUAAAGAGUUCGUAGGCGGUUCGACAAGUGAGGUGUGAAAGCCCUCGGCUUAACCGAGGAAUUGCGCUUCAAACUGUCGGGCUCGAGGGAGAUAGAGGUGAGCGGAACUGAUGGUGGAGCGGUGAAAUGCGUUGAUAUCAUCAGGAACACCAGAGGCGAAGGCGGCUCACUGGGUCUCUUCUGACGCUGAGGAACGAAAGCUAGGGGAGCAAACGGG
rnacentral:rRNA from 1 species